UUCUCAGCUGUUAUCUAAGGCAGACCGACCAUGGUGUGCUAGCUGGCAAAAUUAGCAUUAGAUUAGUCGGCUAUCUAUACAGCUAACAUUAACGUUGCUGGUGAACUUAUUCGUGGGUUAGCCCCAUAGAAUGUAGCCCAGUGCUGUUAUCUGUGGUCAAAACAAUCAUACUAAAAAUAACUUUAUGAGUGUGUUGAACGAUGUUGUAACCUUUUGUUACCCACCAAGCAUUAAUAUUAACGUUAGCUAGCUACUUGUCAACCAGCACAUUGUAGUAACUUUAAGCUGGAUUGAUAUUGAAAUGUAUCAGUGAAUAAGGUCUCAGCUGUAUUACUGUUUUGCAAAGUGGUAUGUUAUUAAUCACAAAAUGAUGCUGUGUGGCAAAAAAA